rnacentral:rRNA from 1 species
UCGAGAAUCUUCCGCAAUGGACGAAAGUCUGACGGAGCGACGCCGCGUGCGGGAUGAAGGCCCUUGGGUUGUAAACCGCUGUCAGAGGGGAUGAAAUCUUCGGAGGUACUCCUCCGAAGUUGACAGAGCCUCAAAGGAAGCACGGGCUAAGUACGUGCCAGCAGCCGCGGUAACACGUACUGUGCGAACGUUAUUCGGAAUCACUGGGCUUAAAGGGUGCGUAGGCGGCGAUUCAAGUCAGAUGUGAAAUGCCUGAGCUCAACUGAGGCAUUGCGUUUGAAACUGAUUCGCUGGAGUAUUUCAGGGGUGUGCGGAACUGCCAGUGGAGCGGUGAAAUGUGUUGAUAUUGGCAGGAACACCGGAGGCGAAAGCGGCACACUGGGGAAUAACUGACGCUGAGGCACGAAAGCGUGGGGAGCAAACAGGAUUAGAUACCCCUGUAGUCCCUGAGCGGCUGGCAAGGCGCAU